rnacentral:rRNA from 1 species
GCUCAGUAACACGUGGAUAACCUACCCUUAGGACCGGGAUAACCUUGGGAAACUGAGGAUAAUACUGGAUAGGCAAUUAUUCCUGCAAUGGUUUUUUGUUUAAAUGUUUUUUCGCCUAAGGAUGGGUCUGCGGCCGAUUAGGUAGUUGGUUAGGUAAUGGCUUACCAAGCCGUUGAUCGGUACGGGUUGUGAGAGCAAGAGCCCGGAGAUGGAACCUGAGACAGGGUUCCAGGCCCUACGGGGUGCAGCAGGCGCGAAACCUCCGCAAUGUGAGAAAUCGCGACGGGGGGAUCCCAAGUGCCAUUCUUAACGGGAUGGCUUUUCAUUAGUGUAAAGAGCUUUUGGAUUAAGGGCUGGGCAAGACCGGUGCCAGCCGCCGCAGUAACACCGGCAGCUCUAGUGGUAGCAGUUUUUAUUGGGCCUAAAGCGUCCGUAGCCGGUUUAAUAAGUCUCUGGUGAAAUCCUGUAGCUUAACUGUGGGAAUUGCUGGAGAUACUAUUAGACUUGAGACCGGGAGAGGUUAGAGGUACUCCCAGGGUAGAGGUGAAAUUCUGUAAUCCUGGGAGGACCGCCUGUUGCGAAGGCGUCUAACUGGAACGGUUCUGACGGUGAGGGACGAAAGUUAGGGGCGCGAACCGGAUUAGAUACCCGGGUAGUCCUAACCGUAAACGAUGCGGACUUGGUGUUGGGGUGGCUUUGAGCUGCUCCAGUGCCGAAAGGGAAGCUGUUAAGUCCGCCGCCUGGGAAGUACGGUCGCAAGACUGAAACUUAAGGAA